GCUGGGCAUGGUGAUGGGUGCCUGUAAUCCCAGCUACUCGGGAGGCUGAGAUAGGAGAAUAGCUUGAACCCAGGAGGUGGAGGUCGCAAUGAGCCCAGAUCAUGCCAUUGCACUCCAGCCUGGGCAACAGAGUGAGACCCUGUCUCUU
ensembl:misc_RNA Metazoa_SRP Metazoan signal recognition particle RNA